rnacentral:rRNA from 1 species
GAUGAACGCUGGCGGCGUGCUUAACACAUGCAAGUCGAACGAGAAAUGUAGACGGAAACCUUCGGGCGGAAGCCUUCAUUUCGAGUGGCGGACGGGUGAGUAACGCGUGGGUAACCUGCCUCAUACAGGGGGAUAACAGGUGGAAACGACAGUUAAUACCGCAUAAGACCACAGCAUCGCAUGAUGCGGGGGUAAAAACUCCGGUGGUAUGAGAUGGACCCGCGUUCGAUUCGCCAGUUGGCAGGGUAACGGCCCACCAAAGCGACGAUCGAUAGCCGAUCUGAGAGGAUGACCCGCCACACUGGGACUGAGACACGGCCCAAACUCCUACGGGAGGCAGCAGUGGGGAAUAGUGCACAAUGGGGGAAACCCUGAUGCAGCGACGCCGCGUGAGUGAAGAAGUACUUCGGUAUGUAAAGCGCUAGCAGCAGGGAAGAAAAUGACGGUACCUGAGUAAGAAGCCCCGGCUAACUACGUG